GAACAUAAGAGUUUGAUCCUGGCUCAGAUUGAACGCUGGCGGCAUGCUUUACACAUGCAAGUCGGACGGCAGCACAGGGAAGCUUGCUUCUCGGGUGGCGAGUGGCGAACGGGUGAGUAACAUAUCGGAACGUACCGGGUAGCGGGGGAUAACUGAUCGAAAGAUCAGCUAAUACCGCAUACGUCUUGAGAGGGAAAGCAGGGGACCUUCGGGCCUUGCGCUAUCCGAGCGGCCGAUAUCUGAUUAGCUGGUUGGCGGGGUAAAGGCCCACCAAGGCGACGAUCAGUAGCGGGUCUGAGAGGAUGAUCCGCCACACUGGGACUGAGACACGGCCCAGACUCCUACGGGAGGCAGCAGUGGGGAAUUUUGGACAAUGGGCGCAAGCCUGAUCCAGCCAUGCCGCGUGUCUGAAGAAGGCCUUCGGGUUGUAAAGGACUUUUGUCAGGGAAGAAAAGGCUGUUGCCAAUAUCGGCGGCCGAUGACGGUACCUGAAGAAUAAGCACCGGCUAACUACGUGCCAGCAGCCGCGGUAAUACGUAGGGUGCGAGCGUUAAUCGGAAUUACUGGGCGUAAAGCGGGCGCAGACGGUUACUUAAGCAGGAUGUGAAAUCCCCGGGCUCAACCCGGGAACUGCGUUCUGAACUGGGUGACUCGAGUGUGUCAGAGGGAGGUGGAAUUCCACGUGUAGCAGUGAAAUGCGUAGAGAUGUGGAGGAAUACCGAUGGCGAAGGCAGCCUCCUGGGAUAACACUGACGUUCAUGUCCGAAAGCGUGGGUAGCAAACAGGAUUAGAUACCCUGGUAGUCCACGCCCUAAACGAUGUCAAUUAGCUGUUGGGCAACUUGAUUGCUUGGUAGCGUAGCUAACGCGUGAAAUUGACCGCCUGGGGAGUACGGUCGCAAGAUUAAAACUCAAAGGAAUUGACGGGGACCCGCACAAGCGGUGGAUGAUGUGGAUUAAUUCGAUGCAACGCGAAGAACCUUACCUGGUUUUGACAUGUGCGGAAUCCUCCGGAGACGGAGGAGUGCCUUCGGGAGCCGUAACACAGGUGCUGCAUGGCUGUCGUCAGCUCGUGUCGUGAGAUGUUGGGUUAAGUCCCGCAACGAGCGCAACCCUUGUCAUUAGUUGCCAUCAUUCGGUUGGGCACUCUAAUGAGACUGCCGGUGACAAGCCGGAGGAAGGUGGGGAUGACGUCAAGUCCUCAUGGCCCUUAUGACCAGGGCUUCACACGUCAUACAAUGGUCGGUACAGAGGGUAGCCAAGCCGCGAGGCGGAGCCAAUCUCACAAAACCGAUCGUAGUCCGGAUUGCACUCUGCAACUCGAGUGCAUGAAGUCGGAAUCGCUAGUAAUCGCAGGUCAGCAUACUGCGGUGAAUACGUUCCCGGGUCUUGUACACACCGCCCGUCACACCAUGGGAGUGGGGGAUACCAGAAGUAGGUAGGGUAACCGCAAGGAGCCCGCUUACCACGGUAUGCUUCAUGACUGGGGUGAAGUCGUAACAAGGUAGCCGUAGGGGAACCUGCGGCUGGAUCACCUCCUUU
rnacentral:rRNA from 1 species